GAUGAAGACGCAGCGAAAUGCGAUACUUGGUGUGAAUUGCAGAAUCCCGUGAACCAUCGAGUCUUUGAACGCAAGUUGCGCCCGAAGCCAUCAGGUUGAGGGCACGUCUGCCUGGGCGUCACAUAUCGUUGCCCAAUGCCUAUUGCAGUGCAAUAGGAAUUUCUAGGGCGAAUGAUGGCUUCCCGUGAGCGUUGUUGCCUCGCGGUUGGUUGAAAAUCGAGUCCUUGGUAGGGUGUGCCAUGGUAGAUGGUGGUCGAGUUAGAACGAUACCGAUCAUGUGCAUGCUCCCCAAAAUAUGGCCUCUAUGACCCACACGCGUCUUUUGACGCUCAUGACGAGACCUCAGGUCAGGCGGGGCUACCCGCUGAAUUUAAGCAUAUCAAUAAGCGGAGGA
rnacentral:misc_RNA from 1 species